GAGUCGAGCGGGUCCUUCGGGACUAGCGGCGGACGGGUGAGUAACGCGUGGGAACGUGCCCUUUGGUACGGAACAACUGAGGGAAACUUCAGCCAAUACCGUAUGUGCCCUUCGGGGGAAAGAUUUAUCGCCAUUGGAGCGGCCCGCGUUGGAUUAGGUAGUUGGUGAGGUAAAGGCUCACCAAGCCUACGAUCCAUAGCUGGUCUGAGAGGAUGACCAGCCACACUGGGACUGAGACACGGCCCAGACUCCUACGGGAGGCAGCAGUAGGGAAUCUUGCGCAAUGGGCGAAAGCCUGACGCAGCCAUGCCGCGUGAAUGAUGAAGGUCUUAGGAUUGUAAAAUUCUUUCACCGGGGACGAUAAUGACGGUACCCGGAGAAGAAGCCCCGGCUAACUUCGUGCCAGCAGCCGCGGUAAUACGAAGGGGGCUAGCGUUGCUCGGAAUUACUGGGCGUAAAGGGAGCGUAGGCGGAUAGUUUAGUCAGAGGUGAAAGCCCAGGGCUCAACCUUGGAACUGCCUUUGAUACUGGCUAUCUUGAGUAUGGGAGAGGUGAGUGGAACUCCGAGUGUAGAGGUGAAAUUCGUAGAU
rnacentral:rRNA from 1 species